rnacentral:rRNA from 1 species
UUCCUACGGGAGGUAGCUGUAAGGAAUAUUGGUCAAUGGACGCAAGUCUGAACCAGCCAUGCCGCGUGAAGGAUUAAGGUCCUCUGGAUUGUAAACUUCUUUUAUAGGGGGCGAAAAAAGGUCUUUCUAGAUCACUUGACAGUACCCUAUGAAUAAGCACCGGCUAACUCCGUGCCAGCAGCCGCGGUAAUACGGAGGGUGCAAGCGUUAUCCGGAUUCACUGGGUUUAAAGGGUGCGUAGGCGGGCAGUUAAGUCAGUGGUGAAAUCCUGGAGCUCAACUCCAGAACUGCCAUUGAUACUAUCUGUCUUGAAUAUGGUGGAGGUAAGCGGAAUAUGUCAUGUAGCGGUGAAAUGCAUAGAUAUGACAUAGAACACCUAUUGCGAAGGCAGCUUACUACGCCUAUAUUGACGCUGAGGCACGAAAGCGUGGGGAUCAAACAGGAUUAGAUC